rnacentral:lncRNA from 1 species
GCAAGGGAGCAACAGGGCUGAGGAGAUACCUGUUCUCCCAGUUUCACGGCCAGUACAAGGCCAUUCUUACACUGCUCGGGGGAGCCCCUCAGGAGAAGACACAUUUAAGAGUUUCCAGCAAGAAGAGUCAGGUCAUGCAGUCAGCUGCUUUCUCAGCCCAGCUGUGGGAAUGUAAACAAGUUUCUAACCUCAUUGAAUCUUAGGUUCCCUGUUUGGAAACAGAUGAGAUCCACAACAGCCAUUAUCUUAUUGGAUGGUUGUUGUAUGGCAGGGGCUGUACUGAAGAGUCACACACAUUACUUAGUCUUCCCAACAAUCCUGCAAGAUAUAGAACCUUGACAUGUUUCUCAGGCUGGUCUGAAACUCCUGGGGCUCAAGCGAUCCACCUGCCUCCACCUCUCAAAGUGCUGAGAUUACAGAAAAUGAAAGGAAUUGAAAUUAAGACAAGGGAGAGAUUGAAGAGUGGAAAGGAGAAAGUGGUUGAGGAACAGUGAGAGAAGUUGGAGAAGAAAGUAAGAAGAGGCCGCUUACCUGAUUUAAAAUUGGGAUGAUGCAUCUGAGAGCUCAAUGCAUGUCGGUGAUGAUGAAGGUGAAGAUGCUGUGAGUGAUGAUGAGGAGGAGGAGGAGGAUGUAAUUGAAGGAGCUUGGGCUUUGCCAUCAGUACAGCUGAGUUAAAAUGGCCUAUGGUUCAUCCUGCAAUAUCAGAGAAUACACAACUGUUGGAAGCUCAUUUGUGCAGAAGCACUAGUUAGACCAAGUCCCAGGAUGGUGGGGACUUGAACUGCCUCAUGCACAUUGUACCCAAGAGCCUGGCCCAUGAAGGUGAAUCAGUGGAUACUUGAAUAAAAAGAAGAAUAUGCGCUGAAGUUUUCUUUGAGGACAUUUUUUUUUCUUUCCAUAGUUUUGAGCAUCUCUGAUGUUUUGAGAUUUCUGCCAGUCUUUGAGGAUGUAAUGCUCAAUUAGACUUGUUCUCUGUCCUCAAAGAGCUUAUAUAAUAGUUAGUGAGCUAAUUCUCCUGUUUUGAGAGACAGGAGAAAAUGUUAUGUUAUAAUGAGUCAUUCAGACUCUAUCUACUAGGCCUGACUUUGUUACUUUUUAAAAAGCAUUCUUCCACUCCUGCUUGGAUAUCUCUGUAUACAAGACUCAGAGACACGUAUGACGCCCCUU